GUCGUUGGAAUUUCUGCCCCGCACGAGAACGCGAGGGUUUCCUCCGCCGCUGCCGCGGCUCUAUAUCCCUCCACUCCACGGCGCCCGUCCUCGCUCCGCAGUCGCCAAAUUCGGAUGAGAUCGGCAGAAUCCACUCUCGGGCGAUGUUUCUCUCUCUGUAAGUCGCUGCCGCGACCCAUGGAAACUCCGACGAACGGAGUACAUGCCGGCAGCCUGCGGGCCGGCGGAUCAGCGCCGGCCGCCUCCACCUUCACCUCCUCCUCCAUGACCUACGCAGCCGGACGCCCGAGGUGAUCGCGUGCUAUGAGUGCGUGUUGGUGUGUGCUUAGCCUGCUGCUGCGUGCGUACCGGCUCGCGUGCGUGUGCCUGUGUGCUGAUGGAAAGUAUGGCUUGCUAGCCAAAACAUCUUCGUGACACUGAUUGUUUUGCCGCUGCUUAGUACUUCCCUAUACAGUAGAUAGAAGAUGAUUUGUGUGUUCUAAAUUCUUGCAAAGUGAACUGACUAUUUGUUAUCUCUUCUCUCUAGAUCAGAGAAGAUGUUAUUGUUUUUCCAGAAAAAGGAAAUUAGUAUUUGAACGCCAUCCUACAACAUGAGUACUAGAUUUUGUAUGAACAGAUCAUAAAUAACCUGGAAGUAGCACGCUCCCUUGCUGUUGUAAUUCUCAGCGUGUACUUUUGCUACUGUACUAUUGCUUGACAAUCUGGUCUGGAUUUAUGAUAGGUAGAACUAUGUGAUUUGUAUUUAUAUGUUGUUAGUUUGAUCCAACUGGAACUUCUUACUGUUCAAGAAUGAUGCUUCGUGAUGUAAAGAUGUUCUGUUUAAGUGGGAGCCGUGAAGGGCCUAAUCUGUGCAAUCUUAAGUUUCAGAAAUAUGGUAGUAGUCCAUAUAGAGUACAAGAGCUGACCAAUGUGGUGGUGUGGAGCAGACUGACAAUGGAAAUACCCAGGCUCAUGCUUUUAUUCUCUGUCCAGUAGAUGAAAUUAUCACAUGAUGGUUGAUGCAGAGGAGUGGAAGGUGUAUGGAGUUUCAAUUAGAUUGGGUGGCCACCGGCGUCCAUGAGACUCCAGAGCAACAUGGCAGACUGUUAGCACAUCUGCUCACAUCAUUGACAUUCGUCAUGAGUCACCCAUAGGCCCACUCAGUAACUCCAUAUCCUUAAAUUCCAAGCCUCAGAUGAUUUGCAUUAAUAUAUUAUCUCUAAUACCUUGGCCCAAACAUUGAUGGUACAUGCAAAAUUUAUAAAGCUAGAUUUGUUGUGAGUGCAUAGCAUAUUGAAAUAAAUUUGGAUGAACUAACUUGAGUUCUUCCAUCAAGUUUUAUUAUAUCAAAUCUUCAAUAAAAAAUUUACAACAAAAACGACAUGUAAAUAUUGACAAGCCUGAUGUUGUGUGCCCGCAACACUUCUGCCGCUGAUUAUGAUGAUGAAUUCUUCGCUUAAAUGGAAGUUUUUCAGUGUGAACUUUUGAUGAACUAUCUUCAUGAUGAUGAUGCUAGAUGUUAUAUGAUUUGUUAUGUUAAUGAAAAUCUUUUAUACCUAGCUGACUACCCAUUAUGUUAUACUCCCUCCAUUCCUUUAUAUAAGGUGUAUUUGUUUUUUCAAAAGUCAAACGAGUGCAUGUUUGACCAAGCUUUUAGAAAAAUAUAUACAUAUUCACAAUAUGAAAUUUAUAUAAUUUGAUCCAUCAUGAAAAGUAGUUUCAUGUUUUAUCUAUUAGGUAUAGCAGAUGUUAUUAUUUUAUUCUAUAAUCUUGGUCAAACAUUUAAAUGGUUGACUUCCACGGAAAUCAAUACACCUUAUAUUCUGGAACGGACUAUGAUUUAUUUAUUUUCUCCAGUUGCAAUGCAUGGGCUAUUACCAAUAAUUUUCAUUAUCAAAUGCAGUGUUAAUGAAAGGGUGUUCCUUUAUCAUGGUUAAAGGUUGCAUGUCUUCUGAUAAGUGCCUUGAUAUCUUUUCGGUCUCUACUUGAAUGUUGCGUAAUUAAUUUUUUAGUGCCCAACAAUCUUUGCACUGAUUCUUGCAAGGGAUCCUCGAGGAAGCUAAGUAAAUGACUAUUCUCAGUGGAGACGACACCAUAGAUGUUGUUUUGAAGUAAGCUCCUGCUCACCAUUCUUUUGUAGUUCCUUCAGAAGAAAUGAUUCCAUUCUUUUACUUGAGACUGCAAGAGUUGUUUUUACCCAUUCAUCUUAGUUUAAUACAAAGUAGAUGCCAGGACAGAAAUAUAUAGUUGAAACCCAAUGAGGUCAAUGAUGUGCGAGAUUCUUUGUUCAGAGGAUGGCUCAAAGACCAAUUACAUCAAACUAAGAAGGUUUAACCAAAAUGAUGCAAGUUUGAAUUGCCUCUCGCUUAAACUUUCUUAAUUAUGCAUUCAUCAUUUUUGAGAUGUUAAGCUCUGAUGAUCACACUACUUGAUUAUCCUAUUCCAGGAUCCGUUGAGGAAGCCAUUAAGAAAUUAAGGGAGAACAAUAUAAAGGCCUUUGUGUUCGAUCUACAGAUUAACAGAUUUUUACCUGUAGAAUUCGUGGUAGAUUUUCACCUAAUGUUGUUGAAAAAUCUAAAUCUUUACAUGGUUGUUUUGAUGCAGUGGUCGGCUUUUUCCUGAAGGGAUUGAGAUUACCAAGAUUCGUAUCAGAUCCCUGCUUUGUCAGCGCAGGAGAACUGCUCAAGCACGUAGGCACGGCGUGCCUGACGCGGAUUACACCCGAACUGCCCUCCUUUGACAUAAAAGGUACCCGAUUCCCUCGACAAAAAUCCUGACUAAAUCGCAAGUUUCCUUGCUUGAAAAUUGAUGCAUCUGAGGUUUUCAAUCUCGCCGACUUCGCUGGAGUGGCGUGCGCCCAUGCUCAAGUAGAGGUACGAAUUUGCAAUAUUAAUUGUUUUUAGGUGCUUCUACAUGAAUCCACCAUUAGUACCAACUUAGCCACCACACUUUCCCUACUGUAGCAGCCUUCAAAGCACCACUGUAUGUGGGCUCUCUCAAUGUCAUUUCAUUGGCUGAGUUGAUCUCACAGGCUAACAUCAAUUUAGAUUGCACAUUUAUUAGUUGGAUUAUAUCAUAGACUGAAGUUCAGACCAUUAUAAUGUAUGUUGCUUCUUUGAAAGUUAGACUUCAUAAAGAAGCAAUUUCAUCCGACCACAGUAGCUCUGGAAAAAUGCAUAACGGAUUUGUGGGUUCACCUUCAUGGAUGGUGCUUUUCUUGUGAUAGUGUCAUAACUGAUAAAUAAAUAAAUCUACAUUGCUUCACAUGCUAGAUGAUUUUGGUGGCCUACUGUGUGACGUAUACUUGACUGGUGAGGGCUUAAAAUGGGGCCUUGGUUUCAAAACUCUGUUUGUGCACAAUCUAUAUCCUCUAUUGCGAAGGAACUGGAUGGAGCAAGGUCCACAUGCCUUAAAUUUCUUAAAGAUCUCCCGCACUUGCUUAAUUUACCCAGUGGAGUAAACAAAAGCUGGGUCCAGUACUACUGCAUGCCUAAUGCAGAACUUCUUUUAUGCACAACCCCAGUGCGGGAGUGUGAAUUGGUGAUCCCACUACAUUGGUUAACUGAGUGCAAUGCACGGCGGCCAAGUUAAGGCGUAUUUCCAUGCCGGUGGGCUGAGCUCGACGGCAAUCCGGCACAGGCAGUGUCCACCAACAGCUCCUCUUCCAAGGACAAAGUGGGCCACGCACAACAGACCCGCAUGCAGAUUUUCCUUUUCAUGUCAUUUAUUUGCUUAUAAUUCAUACUUGGUCUUAAUACUAGCUUUUUGUUUGUAAUAGUUCAUGGGGUAAAAUUUCUUCAUGACGUUGGUUCGUUUGCAUAGCCAAAUUAUUAUAAUUAUAUUUUAUUACUCUCUGUCGUCGGAUAGAAAUAUAUUACUUUAAUGUCUUUGUCCUCAUUUUGCUCUCUUGAACCAGAGUUUCUUCACAUCAUGUACCUCUUUGGUGAAGCUUUCCCUUCUUUUACUCUUACAUAAGCUAUGGAACUGAGCUACCUACGCAUAGAAACCAAACGUUACGGCUAGGAAUAUUGCUGAAGAGUCGUGUAUAUGGAGUGUUGUAGGUGCCAUGGGAUAGAUGCGUAUAGUUGGUUCUCAUUUUGUUUCAAUCAAGUGGCAUCACAUAGUGUAUGUCCUUGCAUGCUAUAUAAUGUUUAGUCACAACAAGUGGGGUAAUGUUUUGUUCAUAUCUAAUGUAGAAAUGUAGAAUCGUGCUAUUUGAGAGGUAUAAAUAGAUUGUUUUAUACUCCCUCUGUUUGGAAUUACUUAUCGCAGAAAUGAAUGUAUCUAGACAUAUUUUAGUUCUAGAUACAUCCAUUUUCGAGACAAGUAAUUCCGAACGGAGGGAGUAGGUGUUAAGUACAUAUUUAAUUAUUUCCUAUAUGUUGCAAUGCAGCCCAUCUGAUAUGAUGAUUUUUAGGUUGUACGUUUUUUUCUCCCGUUGCAACGCACGGGCAUAUUUACUAGGUUAAAGAUAAAGUUGUUCACCCGGUUAGUUGACUAGGAUUGACGUUGCAUGUUUCGAACUAGCACCACAAAGAAUUAUAUUGUUAAUUGAACCAUCAUUUUGGUCAUCAGCAAACUUAUUCUCUAAUUGGCAUUUGUGCCACAAUGAAUCAUAUAUAUGUAUAUAUAAUAUAAUAAUAAUAAAGCACGGGUUGAGCAUGGCGGGUUCACCGUCGCGGCGUUUUUGCAAAGAAGUCCCUGUUUUUUUUAUAAUUAACCCGCGCUAUAGUUUUAAGUGGUGAACAGAGGGAAAACGUUUCGUGUGUUGGCUUGGGACUCGGCUUGGCCUUCAGGGAAAAAAUAUAGCACGGCGGCCUGUCCUCUAUGAGUACGCACAACAGCACGGGUCCUCUUCCCGGGGACGGCACGGCAGCGCCGCCAUGAAUCAAGCCGCCACGCGCGGCCGGUCUACCUCUCCCGCUACCCUCCAGCAGCGCGGCCGUUGCCCUUUUCUUCCCCUCCUCACCCGCCCCAACUCCUCACCCCCAGCCUCCUCGGCCUCAACGCGGACGUCUCCGAUUUGGAUAGGAUUCGAUGGCGUGUUCACACCGCCACGCGCGGCCGGUCUUCCUCUCUAGCUAUCCUCCAGCAGCGCCGCCGGUGCCCUGUUCUUCGCCUCCUCACCCCCGGCCUCCUCCGCCUCGAGGAGGACGGCUCCGAUUUGGAGCUCAAGUACUGCCUCCCCGACACCUCCGUCCCCAACUACGUCGUCCCGUCAGACGAGGACGAGAUUUGGAUUGGGGCGCAACAGAGAUGAGGAAGGACAAAGCAAGAAUAGCUCCAGUGAGAGUGAACGAAUAUGAACACCACAACCCUCUCAGGGGAUGUUGGCUGAUCAGGAUACCCAAUUCUCAAACAAGCAUGCUGAGAUGCUCAAGAUAUGGAAGUUCGUCCACAAGCUCGACCACCAGGUGAACAUGUAAAAGGUGCAGAUGGACAUGAUGAAGCCGUGAAUUGUCACACAAGUCACUGAGCUUCUUGGGUUCGAAAAACUACCUAACUGCUAUUAUCCUGAAUUUAGUUUUAUCUGAACUAAGAGGACCACCUGUGCUUCUCUAACAAAGAAUUACUCAUUUGGUAUUCUUUUGCACUGUUGAUUUUAGUUCAAAUUGGUGUGAGUGCGACCUCUUUGUCAUGUUGGAUAAGGCUUUCUGUAUCACAUGGAUGUGACCUGUAGUAUGGUGUAGAAAAGUGAUGAAAGGUAUUAGUUGGAAUUAAUUUGGCAGCAAUAGUUUAUCAAGUUUUUGCCAAGCCAGCUAUUUGUGGAAUUUCUGCAGCUGUACUUUGUGCCAUCUCCCUCAUGCAGAUAUAUAUACUAGCAGACUAGCACGUAAAUUAUUUACAUCAAAACUGAGACAUAUCUAUAUAUGAUGGAGGCAUUUCUUUCUUUAUAUUCAGCAGUACCUCUUGCUACUAUAAAGAAAGUAGAAACAUGGUUGAUAAAUAAUCACAUUGUUCUGCCCAUUUUUCAUUUCACAAUCCAUUACAAUUGUUAUGUCCUUGCAAUCAUACCACUACACAUGACGCUUCCUAGAUCUGGAACCCAACCAAAGAACAAUCAAGUUUGAUUCGUGCUGUUAUUGGGCCUCGCUGCGACCCUGAUGUUUUUGGGCCAAGUUGGGCAGAAUCUACUCAUGCUUAUAAAACAAGUUUGUUAACAGAUUAAACAGUCCCACCUAGCUUCUUACAGCUAAUUCUAUCAAGUUUAAAAAAAAUAAUUCUAUCAAUUUAUAUAUGCCUAUAAGUAUGAGAAUUAACAAGCAGCUUGAGAAUAAACUAACGGAGGGUGAGCUGUGUUUAGGAAAAAGUAUCACCUGGUUGGCGUAAUAAAUAAAAGGAGUUGGGGAUUGUUGGCUGCCAAAUGAAAAAUCUCAGGAGGCCUAAAUAAAAGGGAUCGUGGGCUGCGAAUCAAAAAACCCUGGUUAGUAUAAAUAAAGGAAAUUGUGGGCUCUGAAAUGAAAAAUUCCGGUUGACAUAAAUAAAGGGAUUGUGGGCUACGAAACGAAUAAUCUCAAUUGAGCACGAUUGUUGUAUGCUACACGAAAAAUAAAAGCGACUAUGGUCUGUGAAACAAAAAAUAAGCAAAGGCCUCCCGGUUGGCAUAAAUAAAAUGCUAUGAAACGAAGAAAAUAAAUAAAUGGGCAUGGUUGAACAAUUUCAGUAUUUUAUACUAAUACUAUUUUCAUUUAAAGGCUGAAUUUUGUCACCCCGUUGCAACACACGGGCAUAUGUCCUAGAAGAUAUUUGGAAUGCAGAGUUCAUGAAAACAAAUGUUAGUCCUUUUUCUUCUUCUGAAAAGCUCUCUUCAUUCUUUUUCUCGUCUAUUCUUACUGCUUGAGAAUUGUUGCAGUCCGUACCAUGUAUCCACCGUUUCCUAAGGAGAGUGUUCCUAUGCUAAAAGUUGUUGUUUUGUCAUUGCAGAUUUGUGCGGUCUAAAUAGUACUGUAUUUUAGUUUUCUGGAAGGAUGCAAAAGUCAUACUGGGCUUCCUGUGUAUACUGAUUGCUAAAUGAUGCAAUAGUAUUUGUGCGGUGGGGGAGUGUCAUUCCCUGUGUUUACCAAUUGGUCUCACCCUCUUAAGAGAUCUAACCCUUGUCACCGUAAGGAAAAAAGCAAAGAGUAUUAUGACGCCAUAAAGUUUGAAUUCAGAGAAGUAUAUGCUGAAGAACACCAGAAUUAGUCUUCAUGAACCAUCAUCGCCUUGUUGAUGAUGCUUCACAUGGCGCCCACAAAUUAAACAACCUAUGAAAUGGCCAGAAGGGACCGGAUAUCCUACUUGGUAUGUGGUUUUAGAAGCGACUUAGGUUCCAGCUUGCUGUGAACUUUAUAAUUUAUCACUGCUAUAAUGCUAACUACUUGACUCGAUACUGAAAGAUUGGAGCUGUAGUAUUUGCAGAGGAAUUCCGAACAUGCUUCAUCAAUUCAGUAAAGGCCUAUGUAGAAACAUCUUUGACUUCACUAGAGAGUGGAUCUGCACUCGAGGAGCAGCUCGAGCAGCUCUGCACACAUGCCUAGACCUACUUUCCUGUCGGCGCUGUUGAUAUGUGUGUUCUGUAUCAUUCUUUACGUCUAGCGUGUGAUGUAAUCCAUUUUCAGACUUUUCACCAGUGGAAGCAUAUAUUUUACGAGCUGAAUCAAUAGAUGUUCAUUGAGCUUAUUUUCAUGUAAAAGCGCAUGUACAUUCUCAGCAAAAACAAGAAAGUGUGUGUGUGCCCGACCUUC